rnacentral:rRNA from 1 species
AUGCGGUGGCGUAUGGGACGCGGCGUGGGCGGUCGGCCUCCUCCUCCCCUACUCCCUCGCCAUGCUGGUUCUGGAGCUGCUCGAUGCGCCGACCAAGUACGCCGACCCCUUCCAACGGCCUCCUCUCCUAAGGUCGCGGCACCCGGCACUGUCCAGAUCCCAGAGGAGUACGUGGAUGAUGUCGAAGCGAUGGAUGUCACUCAGAAUCCUCCACGAGAAGAAGUCCACAAAACAAUUGAAGAUUGCAGGGCUGCUGGUAUACGUGUUAUGGUGAUAACAAAGAAACAGCAGAGGCGAUAUGCCGUGAGAUUGGGGUUUUUGGUCCCAGUGAAAACAUUAGCUCAAAGGGCUUUGCAGGGAAGGAAUUUAUGGCUCUUCUGA